rnacentral:pre_miRNA from 1 species
CUACUACUCCCUCCGUUCGGAAUUAGUUGUCGCAAAAAUAGAUGUAUCUAGAUGUAUUUUAGUUCUAGAUACAUCCAUUUCCGAGACAAGUAAUUCCGAACGGAGGGAGUAUAUU